rnacentral:rRNA from 1 species
UGGGGAAUUUUGGACAAUGGGCGAAAGCCUGAUCCAGCAAUGCCGCGUGUGUGAAGAAGGCCUUCGGGUUGUAAAGCACUUUUGUCCGGAAAGAAAUCCUUGGCUCUAAUACAGUCGGGGGAUGACGGUACCGGAAGAAUAAGCACCGGCUAACUACGUGCCAGCAGCCGCGGUAAUACGUAGGGUGCAAGCGUUAAUCGGAAUUACUGGGCGUAAAGCGUGCGCAGGCGGUUUGCUAAGACCGAUGUGAAAUCCCCGGGCUCAACUGGGAACUGCAUUGGUGACUGGCAGGCUAGAGUAUGGCAGAGGGGGGUAGAAUUCCACGUGUAGCAGUGAAAUGCGUAGAGAUGUGGAGGAAUACCGAUGGCGAAGGCAGCCCCCUGGGCCAAUACUGACGCUCAUGCACGAAAGCGUGGGGAGCAAACAGGAUUAGAUACCCUGGUAGUCCACGCCCUAAACGAUGUCAACUAGUUGUUGGGGAUUCAUUUCCUUAGUAACGUAGCUAACGCGUGAAGUUGACCGCCUGGGGAGUACGGUCGCAAGAUU